CUCUCUCAGGUCCAUUGACCGUCGCUUAAGCAUGAUGACGGGGUCAUUGAACCACUUCUAACCGCGAGGGUCUUUGGAUCCUCAAUGGUGGCUAGGCGAAAGAGGCCAACCACUGCUAACCUGCGUUUUCAGAUCGAUAAAGAGAGGAAGGGAGGUGAGAGGAAGGUCGAACAUGGAUGGGUUUUUGAAGUGGACGCAGGCUCUUGCAUCAGCAUGGGGAGUCAUACUGAUUCUCGGUCUCAUCGGGUGUUGCCUCAGCACCAUCCCUCACCACCACGACGACAAAACCAGCGGUUGUGCUGGCUGCACUAGUGAUAUCGGUGUAUGAUGUGUGCUCAUUCUUCUUCUUCUUCUUGAAUUGUGAACACUGAACAUACCGAGACCAUGCAGACAUCCGUUGGUUAAAGGCCAUGAAAACACUUCCUUUUUGACCGUGUUAACAGAUGAAGGUUGUACAGUUGGUAGUCUUCAUCGUUUCUGUUUGAUUCUCAAUCUUAUAUUGUAUAUGGAUCUUGUAAAUGAGCCUUGAUAUGCCUAGGUCAUGCUAUAAGUGUAUACAAAUUAAUUUGUGGUGCAUACUGUUCAUUCUUCGUAGAAAUGCAACCUCAAGAUGUCUGUCUA